GGGUUGUGAGGUUAAGCGACUAAGCGUACACGGUGGAUGCCCUGGCAGUCAGAGGCGAUGAAGGGCGUGCUAAUCUGCGAUAAGCGCCGGUAAGGUGAUAUGAACCGUUAUAACCGGCGAUACCCGAAUGGGGAAACCCAGUGUGAUUCGUCACACUAUCAUUAACUGAAUCCAUAGGUUAAUGAGGCGAACCGGGGGAACUGAAACAUCUAAGUACCCCGAGGAAAAGAAAUCAACCGAGAUUCCCCCAGUAGCGGCGAGCGAACGGGGAGGAGCCCAGAGCCUGAAUCAGCAUGUGUGUUAGUGGAAGCGUCUGGAAAGGC
rnacentral:rRNA from 2 species